AGACGUAGGGGGCAAGCGUUGUCCGGAUUUAUUGGGCGUAAAGAGCCCGUAGGCGGCUCAGAAAGUCGGGUGUGAAACCUCCAGGCUCAACCUGGAGACGCCACCUGAUACUGCUGUGGCUAGAGUCCGGUAGGGGAGCACGGAAUUCCCGGUGUAGCGGUGAAAUGCUUAGAUAUCGGGAGGAACACCAGUGGCGAAGGCGGUGCUCUGGGCCGGAACUGACGCUGAGGAGCGAAAGCGUGGGUAGCAAACAG
rnacentral:rRNA from 1 species